GACGAGGUGGCCGAGUGCGGUUAAGGCGAUGGACUGCUAAUCCAUUGGGCCUCCCUGCCCAAGUGUAGUUCGAAUCCCAUCCUCGUCG